AGAGAUUGAAAAGAAGAACUUGAAAGAAAACCCUAAUCUGAAAAAAUGAAGAGUCUUUUUUUGAAAGCAAAGUUAUAGAAAUUUUGAGAAGAUGCUUACAAACUCAUGGCAAGCAUGGAUUUGAGGUAGGUCUAAAAGAAAUCAAAAAGUCUCAGAGAUUAGGGUUUCAGAAGAACCCAAAAGCAAUGAGAAAGGUCUUGAAAGUUACCAAUAUAAAUAGGAGAGUCAAAGCUCUAACUCGAAUGGCCAUGGCUGGCCGGAGAAAGGUUAGAGAUGACCAGAGAAGGUCAUCGAGCAAAGACUGUACCAAGUCCCUUCAAAGUCUGGUCAGGAGACCACAGAACCAAACACGUAGAAGACAUGGAAGGCUGAUACAGGUCUUAGAUGACCAUGGAAAGUCAUGGAUUAGGAUAGAUUAAGGUGGUGGAGGCUAGGGUUCGGGGGUGUUGCAGAGUGUUUGAGAAAGGAGGGAUUCAGAGGUGGCG
rnacentral:lncRNA from 1 species